GACGUAGGAUGCGAGCGUUGUCCGGAUUUAUUGGGCGUAAAGAGUUCGUAGGCGGUUCGUUAAGUCUGAUGUUAAAGACUGGGGCUCAACCCCGGAAAUGCAUUGGAUACUGGCGGACUGGAGUGCGGUAGAGGUUAGUGGAAUUCCUGGUGUAGCGGUGAAAUGCGUAGAGAUCCGGAAGAACACCGGUGGCGAAGGCGGCCUGCUGGGCAGUGACUCGCAAGAGUCAAUAGCUGACGCUGAGGCGCGACAGCGUGGGGAGCAAACAGG
rnacentral:rRNA from 1 species